rnacentral:rRNA from 1 species
AACGAACGCUGGCGGCAUGCCUAACACAUGCAAGUCGAACGAGACCUUCGGGUCUAGUGGCGCACGGGUGCGUAACGCGUCGGAACCUGCCCUUAGGUUCGGAAUAACUCCCCGAAAGGGGUGCUAAUACCGGAUAAUGUCUUCGGACCAAAGAUUUAUCGUCUUUGGAUGGGCCCGCGUUGUAUUAGCUAGUUGGUAGGGUAAAAGCCUACCACAGCGACGAUCCAUAGCUGGUCUGAGAGGAUGGUCAGCCACACUGGGACUGAGACACGGCCCAGACUCCUGCGGGAGGCAGCAGUGGGGAAUAUUGGACAAUGGGCGAAAGCAUGAAGCAGCAAUGCCUCGUGAGUGAUGAAGGCCUUAGGGUAGUAAAGCACUUUUACCCGGGAUGAUAAUGACAGUACCGGGAGAAUAAGCGCCGGCUAACUCCGUG